rnacentral:rRNA from 1 species
AAGUGGUGUGAUAUGCGAGUCCAAAACUUAUACGUGAACCAUCGAAUUGUUGAACGCAUUGCAUCGAGCUUUGCCCAAGCACGAUAUGCCCCAUUGAGCGUCAUCAUGUCUUCGGAAGCCUCAUUCCGAGUUCGGGACUCAUGGCCUCUGACCGGCCACGCCUCCUCAGAUACAUUCGCGUCCCAGAGACGUCGCGCUCCUUGUCGUGAACUUCAAGGCGCCGAGUCCUCGGGUGGAACGCUCGUCCGGUCGGCCUCUUUGGUCGACCAAGCCCCGAGCGCCGUGGCUCCGUCCCGGCCUCGCUCCUCGACAUGACCUCACGGGGGUGAGACGACCCGCUAGACUUAAGCAUAUUAAUCAGCGGAGGAAAAGAAACUAACAAGGAUUCCCCUAGUAACUGCGAGUGAAGAGGGAAGAGCUCAAUGUGUGAAUCUGGCCGGGAGUGACGCCUGGCUCGAAUUGUGCACUAUUGACGCUGGAUCAGCGCAUGGGAUCUCGCGGCGGAUGUCCGAUGAAACACGGCACCACAGUGGGUCACAGUCCCGUACUCGCCCAUCGAGCGCCCGCGCCUAUGACCAGUGUUCUUCGAGUCGCGUAGUUUUGUAUUGCUGCGCCAAUUGGGAGGUAGAGCCCUUCUAAAGCUAAAUAUGAUGGCGUGACCGAUAGCAAACAAGUACCGUGAGGGAAAGGUGAAAAGCAACCAUGCAGAAUGGGUUGAAAGAGAAGUGAAAGUGCUACCGGGAUAAGGGCUAUUGAUUGCAAGUGCGGGUCGCGUGUGCUUCAGUGCUACGCUUGCCGCCGUCGCGCAUCGAUUGGGGACCGGGGAGAGAAGGGCGGCGGGAACACGGCUCGGCCUCGAGUGUUGCAGACCGCCGACCACUUGAGCCCCCCUCGAU